rnacentral:lncRNA from 1 species
UCAUAUUGUUGAGAGAAUUUUAUCUAAAUCUACUAUUAGCUUAAAUCAAAUUCAUUUCGAAUUGUAAAAUGGAUAUACUAAUUUAUAUCCUUUUUAUUUAAAAUUGAAUAUUUAAGUUUAUUUGAACAUUUACUUCAUAUUUAAAUUGAACUAAAAAAAGAAAAGUAAUAACAGUUUCUUGUUUGGAUUAUUAUUAUUUUAUUUAAGCAAAAGAUAAUGGAGGGAGUCGAAUGUUCGUUAUUUCCCCUUACAACAAUCAAUUUUCACUUUAGCUAAUGAAAGGAAAAUAUUUUUUCUAAAAUGUGAAAUAGUUUUUUUAUCUUUUUUUAUUUUUAUUUAAUUUAUUUUUUAAAAUGAUAUAACGGCGAAAGUCAUUGUACAGGCCCAAUUAUGCCCGGCCCAAACUAAAAGACCAAACCCAAUUAAAUACAAACCCUAAAGCCUAAAUCUUAGCCCCCUGCAAAGAAGAGAAAACAGCAGCAGCCCUCAAGCCUCAGCAGCACACUCGGCCAACCAAUGGCCGCCUCGCGCACCACCACCGGCAUAUGCUCUCUCCAUGCGUCUGACACGCCCAUACCCUGCAAACACAAACAACAAAAACAGCAGCCACAACAGAGGAAUAAGAGCAUUUUUUAUUGUUAUUGUAAUCGGUUAUAAAACCGAAAGGAGAAAUUUUGAAAAAAAAACGGAUUGUAUUUUGAAAUGGGGGGAUCGAUUGUAUUUUAGGGAAACCGGUUGUAAAUAGGGGGGAUUAGAGAGGAAAAACCGAUUGUAAAACGGGGGAGAUUACAUAGAGAGAAUACAAAAAAGGACUUGAAGGUGAUUUUCAGAUCGAUUUUUCUUUUUGAUUUUUUGGGUUCUCGUUUUCUUUCUUCUUGAUCUUUACUUGCUGCACAUUUAUAACAAAAAGGGAGAGCAUUACAAAGCAACAAAAAAUAGAAAAAGCAGUGAUUUCAAGGUUUUCGCACUUUUUUUUCUGUUCUUAUUCUUUUUUUACCGUAUUUUGAAUCUACUUGACAAAUCUAAAAGAGGAGUUUAUUUACCUUUUUUGUUGUCGAUUUAGUCGACGUUGGCUCCUCCGGCCUGAUGGUUGACAGAUCCUUGUGGUCUGGCUGAAACCGCGACGGUGGUGGAGGCGUAUUAUACGCCGGUGAAGCCUAAGAGUCGGCCAAGGUAAAGAAUAGGAGAAAAAUGGGGGCGGUUAGAUAUAAGUUUUAGUGAAAAUGGCAGAGCUCAGUGGUUCUUUUUUGUGUUUUUUAAUAUUGAAACGGUGGUGUUUAAGGGUGGGGGCC